CCCGUCUGCACCGAUCACGCCAGACCUUGGGUUCGCAGCGCCCGAUCUUGUUUCACAGGCGCUCCCAAAGCUCCGCUGGCACGCCAGCAUCGCCGCUGAAUCACCGACGUGCCUUAGUCAGCCUGCUUAAAAUGGCACAGCUCUGAAUUGUCUGGUCGCCUCCUCCAAACUGCAUCUGACCUUCUGCCAAUCCUGCUCGUGCGUUUCUAGCUACCGGCCUCAUCUCUGAAUUUGCAACCCCCUGCUCCUUGAGACAUCUAUGCUCCAAAGUCCAUACGACCGUCUGCGGCCCCUUCCUCUGAUGAGCCACUGUGCCAAGAGCAUUAGACCCUAAAACUAUUGAGACUCAUCAUGGAAGAUAUAAUUCCCACUCCCUCUUUUCAGGUCUUCGUCCAGGCUACUCUGUGAAAACAAGGCUGGAGUCUCUGUCCUUACUGCAGGGAAUGGCAGGGUGAGGAACUCCUAACUUGUCAAAUGGAAACUGUAAAACUGAUCGUUCAGCAGACAGAGAGCAGAAAUAACAGGACUCAGUUAACGGGGACUGAAAUAUUCAGCUUUCAUGACUACACAGGGAUACCACAAAAACGAUGAAGAAAACAAGGCUAUUUGGAAGUUGGAAAGCCGGGGACAGGUACUCUAUACCCAAAUAGAUUAGCUAAGGCAUGACUGACUAGAAUUACAUGUGCCUUUCUAAAUUACCCAUUUAGCAGCACUAGGGAUGUGAAGAGGGCAAGAGAGACCGACCACAUUGUUUUCUUUUGACUCUGAGGCAGACUGUUUGGACUGGAAGAGGAUCAGAACUUGCAACAAGCUCUUCACUCUUCUAAGAUUGAUCAGGUUACACACAAUGCAUCCAAAAGUGGCUUAGCCUCUCCUCACAUCAUAAAUAUGCUAUGGAAGGAAAGUGAGAAAAUACAUAGAGAAAUGACAAUAUUUGGAACUUUCCUCUCUUUCAAUUUUCUUCUUGGUGACCUCUAUUCACAUUCCUCCAUGAGCUAUCAUUUGAUUCCUCUCUUCCUCCAACUCUUCCUAUUAAGAAAUGUGAAAUGACCCACAGAAAUCUUUCAAAACAUAGAAACAGGGACACCAAGUCAGGGAACAUCAGUACAGCCCAGUCUCCCAUCUCUAACGGUGGGCAGCAGUAAAUGCCUAGAAAAGAACUUAGCAACAGAGCAAGUGCAUGAUAGUGUUCCCAGAAUAUCUAUCGAGCACACAGCAAUUUGUGGUUCAGAGGAUUCCUGAACCAGACAUGGUGAUUUUGCAUGUAAUAGCCCCCAAUGGAUUCAUCUUUCAUUAAGUUGUCUAGUCACUCUGGAACCCAUGCUAAUUUUACUCAUCUACAGCAUUUUGUGGUGAAGGGGGUCACAUCUUCAGCAUUCUGUUGUUGCUUAAGGUUCUUGGGUUUGAUAUUUGAAGGAGAUAUUUCAGGAAAUAUUUCAAGAACUGACAAACUAGGGUUGAUGAAUGGAGGAUGUGAUUCUCCUUCAGAAGAUCAGACAAAUGUAUCUCUACCUUUAAACAAACAAAAAAACCCACAGCUGAGCACAACGGUAGCAUAUGUUUGUACACAGUGAAAGUACUUGAGUCUGGUUUCAGGUGCAAGCCUUUUGUCAUGCACAGUUGAAUCCAUCAGAAAAGUUCUCAAGAAGUAAUCUAAACUUGGCUGCAUAGUGGAACUGUGCAGAUAUAUUGCUUUUUGAUAAGCAUGGAACUGAAUUUAUGCUGCAGUGUGGCUAGACAGACUCACUCCCAUGGAGUUUCAUAAGCAGCAUCUUCUGUUUUCCACCAUUCCUUCUUGCCAAAGAAGACAGUUCCCUGUGCAAUUCCUCAUAACGGUCAAAGGAAUUCACAACAGAAGCGUGAAUUCUAUUGCAUACUGAGAAAAAACAGAUCCUUUGUGCCUUAAGGUAAUGGAGCAUAUCUAAAAUAAUACAGCACAAGCAUUAAGCUCAGCAAGAAAAAUUCUGUUCUGUUACCACUAGCUUAUUGACAGAAAAUGAAGCUGAAAAAUUUGGCCAAGCAUACUUCUGUAGUUUCUUCACGCCUGGUUGUUGUGUUCAAACAAAGGCCUUCUCUUUUCCACACAAUAUAAAUGCUCCUUGUUCAAACCUAGAGUUCAUAACUUAAGAAUUUGUUCCUAGAGAAAUUGUUUUAUUGUUGUUACUAGUGCUACCGAGAAGAAGACAAAAAAAAAAAGUUUUACCAAAGCAUUUAGGAUUCUCUAUUAUAUUAAUACAGACAGAAAGAGGGGAAACCCUAAAGCAGUGAGAUGACUUUGGACAGCCUGGCCAGCAAUAGCCACUGCAGCCUGCUGGCAUGCCCAGUUUGACCUGACAUCAGCUGGGAAUUGCCACAGAGCGAGGUGCUGAGAUUUGGAGAGAAAGCCCUGGCAGAGAGGUGGAAGUCCAAGGUACCCACAAGGAUACGUCACCUGAUUUUGUGUAGGUGGAUGAGGUUACGUCGGGCCGAAGGUGGACAGGGAGAAGGGAAGACCAGGGAGAAUUUGCCCUCAGGAUCUGUACAGAAAGCUGGAAGAGGGAAAGGAAGACCUUCGAUAAAAAUGCUGGAAGAGGAGCUGGGAGGAGCAGAAAGAGAAAUUAGUAUGAUGGGAGACAUUCAGUAUGAUAUGACCCAGCACGGGACUAACUAGGAACAGAAAGUGGUUGGAGGGAAAUCCAAAAUCAUUUAUAAACUCCAAAAUGCCUUCUCUGAAGAUGUGGGUCAAGAAAUAUAAUAAUAAAUGAAAGGGUCAAAGACUCAUACUUUCGACUCUAGUAUGUGCAAGUAUCUUUCCCUACACAAAAGUCUGUCUUUCCAGUGUAUUGCUCUUUGCUGCAGUGGUGAAUAAAUUCUGCUUCUGGAGUUCAGGGGGGGUGAGAUCUGCUUUCUGCUUCCCUCUGAGGACACCAAGGGCCCAGAAGCCGUGGGACGGUGAACAGCAGUGGUGUAAGCAGGAGAGGGGACGGAGUGGCUCCGUAGAUUACUAUGGUCCAGCAAGCAGGAUUUUGCGGAGGAAGAGUGGGCAACUAGACCACAGGGCUGUCGUUCAGCUGACUGACUGCUUCUCAGCAAGGCAACGCCAGGUGGGAGCUGCAAGCAGCCACAGGGCCACAACCGUCCAGAGGGAGAACCAGAACAUCCCCGUCCCUGUUGAAGUCCACACGGAAAGGAGGAGAGAAAAUGCUUUCAACUGCCGCAGCCCCAAGCAUCUCACCUGGGCUCUUGCACCCUCAGUUCGAGCGGAUAAAGAUUUUGCCCUGAGGAACAGACGCAGGUUGUUCUUCAGCCACUACUGUGUCAUGCUGUGCUGUUUGCUGUAAACUUACAUUCAAAACAGAGCUGGACUUUUGAACUGGAGGCCCCUGGGGAGGCAGAGCUAUGUACCAUUACUAAAUUUAGAAGCUUCUGAAGUGGAAAAAUGGUAAAAUGUUUUGCAAAUAGCAAACUUUUCAGGAGGCAGUGCACAAGAGUGGUUCCACGCAGCCCGGCUGCUACGAACAGAUGAUUGGGAAACGGGCAACCAUUAAUCUGCUUCUGGAAAGACAUAUAGAUUCCUGAACUGUUCACAGAUGACUUCAGAUACAUCCAGAAUGAAAGGCCUGAUUUUUCUUCCUGGCUCCAGUCACACAGAGCGUUUCACACUGGCAUUUCUGCCUAGGAAUCGCUGUUCCCUGAGGAAGCAUUUGAACCCUCUGCAGAAACAGAUGAGUCUAUGUAAAAGCUGCCGCAUUUCCUUGCAGGAAGGGUGUUUUUGCCCUGUAUUUGGCACCUUUUUUUUUUUUUGAGAAGCUUCAUAGGUAUCAUCAAAAUUGAUUACUAUGUCAGAUAAUCACGGUAUUUAUGGCCUUUAUCACCUUCAGCUCAGUUCAGAGUAUUUAAUUAUACUUCAGGUAUAACUUACUUUUCUGUACAAUCUUCAAAGACAUUGUUCUGACGGCAACAUACAGCCACCUCCUCAAAUAAGUUAUUAUUUCUUAAUAUCAAGAUACAUAGUGUUAAGUAGGAUACCUUACUACUUUGUGUCUUGCUGUGGCUUGUUUACAAAGAUCUGUAAGAAAUCUGGCUUCAGAUUUCUCGACUUUUCUGCGAAAGCCCAUCCACUGCAUUGCAUCGCAACAUCUGCUUCAUGUAAGCUCCUUGAAGUUCAGUGGGACUCAGCAUAACGAGUAGCAGCUAGGGGUUAUCUUGGCUGGUGGGGGCAAGUGAACGUUCAUCUGCAGAACCCUGCUGACAAGCACUGCGGUCACUACAAGUGAUCUGUGUAUUUCCAUGGAUAUUCAAAACAGAGCAAAUUAAUUGGAUUAAGCGGUCACUCCUUCAACCACCACGAAAGGAAGUAGGGUGUUAGAGAUCCCAUCUGCAGCUCUUCAGGCAGAAAGCCGUGCGUGCAGGAGGCAGAACCGGGCAGCCCAAGGACCAGCUGGGAAGCUGGGACCAGCCGAGUCCCAGCACGGAGCUGCUGAAGCCACCUAAAAGCGACCUCUUCCCUUUGAACAAAGGGAAGGGAAAGAAGGUGCUGAAUAAACACCAGCCAAGCCAAGACCCAAGGAGCAGAGCCUAGCCAAAUGAGAGGUUAUCCUAUGCUAUAAAUGUAUUGAGGGCAUUCGGGAAAGCUUCUGUCACACAUGGGCAAAAGAUUUGCAGGAUGGCCACAACGGGCCACAUUGCCAAGUUGUCUUCUGGUCCAGAGGAAUCCUUUCAGCAGAUCGACAUCUCAGACUGAUCAUAGGGAAAACCUUGUGGACACAAUACAGAACAUGUGGAAUGGAGAAACCCAGAAGAAAUAUUAGAUUACUGUGACAGGACAGGAGAAAGAGAUAAAGUUUUCAUUACUUGAAAUCUACCAGCCAGUUUCUUGCACCCCUUUUGGCUAUCAAUAUAAAUCUGAAAAUUCCUGCUCUGCUCAAAAGAGCUGCUGGUUAAUAUGUAUGCAGUUUUCAUAUAGGACUUUUUCCUUAGCAUUGCUGAGUAUCUUUGAUUCUCAUGUUAAUACUUCAUCAGCCAGUAGGAGAGGAGCCAGCACCAUUUUACACUUGGUCCACAGGUUCCGGUGUGAGUAAAGAGUACUCAUCAUCUCCUACCAUUGCACCCAGUAAUUAUCUUUGGGGUAAUUAGCAUAUGUAUCCUGGAGAUCUCCAUCAAGACUCUUCUUUCUAUUGUGGACUGUAACUAUUAGGUUGGAUCUCUGGCUGCCAUGAACUGGCGUAGCACCCUUAAUUAAUAUCUUUUCCUCUCCCUCAGAGCUGGGAGGAAGCCUUAGGAAUAGAUGUUGUUAAGGGAUAUUCAAGGCAGCUGUGAGCUGAAGAUUUGAGUGUCUUAAAAUCUGAUUAUGCAUUCCUUGUGCACUCAGAGCUCUGUAAGUUUUAGCUUGGUCAUAAAUAUGAGAUCAGACCCUCGACUUGUUUAAAUGAAGGAAUAUGUGUUGCAUAGAAUGCAGGUAUCAUUAAACUGCUAAACUUUGCACUGACAGAAGCAUUUUUUUAGAGACUGAACAAACGAUUUUCAGACCUUAAAACCUCACAGCCAAUAUCUAUGAUGCAAAAGUGCUUGCUCUGCCAUCCUUCCCAUUUUAAUCAGUAUAAUUAUAAUGGAUUACUUUGUAUCAUUUAAACAAGUUCACAUAUCGUCAUCUUGCAACUAAAAUACCAGUGGCACUUCGUGGAUCUAUCACAGCUUGAGAACAGCUGAGGUUAUUAUUAUUAUUCCUCUUUC